UGGGGAAUUUUGGACAAUGGGGGAAACCCUGAUCCAGCCAUCCCGCGUGUGCGAUGAAGGCCUUCGGGUUGUAAAGCACUUUUGGCAGGAAAGAAACGUCAUGGGUUAAUACCCCGUGAAACUGACGGUACCUGCAGAAUAAGCACCGGCUAACUACGUGCCAGCAGCCGCGGUAAUACGUAGGGUGCAAGCGUUAAUCGGAAUUACUGGGCGUAAAGCGUGCGCAGGCGGUUCGGAAAGAAAGAUGUGAAAUCCCAGAGCUCAACUUUGGAACUGCAUUUUUAACUACCGGGCUAGAGUGUGUCAGAGGGAGGUGGAAUUCCGCGUGUAGCAGUGAAAUGCGUAGAUAUGCGGAGGAACACCGAUUGCGAAGGCAGCCUCCUGGGAUAACACUGACGCUCAUGCACGAAAGCGUGGGGAGCAAACAGGA
rnacentral:rRNA from 1 species